ensembl:snoRNA SNORD83 Small nucleolar RNA SNORD83
GCCACAUGAUGAGGCCUAGAUCUCACGAGCACGUGUCGUGUGAAGAUGACCUCCAUCUAUCACCCAGGACUGAUGGCU